GAUGAACGCUGGCGGCGUGCCUAAUACAUGCAAGUCGAGCGAAUGGAUUAAGAGCUUGCUCUUAUGAAGUUAGUGGCGGACGGGUGAGUAACACGUGGGUAACCUGCCCAUAAGACUGGGAUAACUCCGGGAAACCGGGGCUAAUACCGGAUAACAUUUUGAACCGCAUGGUUCGAAAUUGAAAGGCGGCUUCGGCUGUCACUUAUGGAUGGACCCGCGUCGCAUUAGCUAGUUGGUGAGGUGACGGCUCACCAAGGCAACGAUGCGUAGCCGACCUGAGAGGGUGAUCGGCCACACUGGGACUGAGACACGGCCCAGACUCCUACGGGAGGCAGCAGUAGGGAAUCUUCCGCAAUGGACGAAAGUCUGACGGAGCAACGCCGCGUGAGUGAUGAAGGCUUUCGGGUCGUAAAACUCUGUUGUUAGGGAAGAACAAGUGCUAGUUGAAUAAGCUGGCACCUUGACGGUACCUAACCAGAAAGCCACGGCUAACUACGUGCCAGCAGCCGCCGUAA
rnacentral:rRNA from 1 species